UACGUAGGGUGCGAGCGUUACUCGGAAUUACUGGGCGUAAAGCGUGCGCAGGCGGUUUUGUAAGUCAGAUGUGAAAUCCCCGGGCUUAACCUGGGAACUGCGUUUGAAACUACAAGGCUAGAGUGUGGCAGAGGGGGGUGGAAUUCCACGUGUAGCAGUGAAGUGCGUAGAGAUGUGGAGGAACACCGAUGGCGAAGGCAGCCCCCUGGGUUAACACUGACGCUCAGGCACGAAAGCGUGGGGAGCAAACAGG
rnacentral:rRNA from 1 species